GUGCCAUAGAAUCGAUAAACGCAUGCGUUAAGGAUAUCAAAGAAACCAGCAUCAUUGCCUCCAAUCGACAACGUGACUAGAUCCGAGGGUUUGAGGGCCUUUAUCUGUCUAUCGAUUGAUUUAUGCUUGCUAAAGGAAGCGCCUGGUAUACCCAUCACUGCGCCAGAGCAGGCAAGAAACUGGAAAGCGUGGUUUUGACCCAGCACGCCUGAACGGAUCAACUGCAUAGGAUAGCUGUCUUUAAACCGCCAACAGGAAUUGUGAAGUUUUCUGCCGGCGUCGAUUCCUGAGGCGUAACUGUCCCCCAGCGCCGCAUAACGAAUUACGGCAGUAGGAAUCGUUUCGUUUUCGCCCACGAAGCCUAUAUAUUUUUCAAAGUCAGUUAGGCGAUACUCAAGCUGAUAGAUAGCUUACACGUAACGCUAUUUUCUUUGCUCACUGUUGGAGUGACCUACAUGAGGGCAAUGCUCCUGCAAAGUAAGAAGAAAGCUGAAAGGCCAAUGAGAAAUAGACAACAUAGGACUUCACUGAUGUUAAGAAAUACAUUAUCGGAAG
rnacentral:sRNA from 1 species